UGCAAGUCGAGCGCUCUCUUCGGAGGGAGCGGCGGACGGGUUAGUAACGCGUGGGAACAUACCCUUUGGUACGGAAUAGCCUCUGGAAACGGAGAGUAAUACCGUAUGAGCCCUUCGGGGGAAAGAUUUAUCGCCAAAGGAUUGGCCCGCGUUAGAUUAGGUAGUUGGUGGGGUAAUGGCCUACCAAGCCUACGAUCUAUAGCUGGUUUUAGAGGAUGAUCAGCAACACUGGGACUGAGACACGGCCCAGACUCCUACGGGAGGCAGCAGUGGGGAAUCUUGGACAAUGGGGGCAACCCUGAUCCAGCCAUGCCGCGUGAGUGAUGAAGGCCUUAGGGUCGUAAAGCUCUUUCGCCUGUGAAGAUAAUGACGGUAGCAGGUAAAGAAACCCCGGCUAACUCCGUGCCAGCAGCCGCGGUAAUACGGAGGGGGUUAGCGUUGUUCGGAAUUACUGGGCGUAAAGCGCACGUAGGCGGACUGGAAAGUAUGGGGUGAAAUCCCAGGGCUCAACCCUGGAACUGCCUCAUAAACUAUCAGUCUAGAGUUCGAGAGAGGUGAGUGGAAUUCCGAGUGUAGAGGUGAAAUUCGUAGAUAUUCGGAGGAACACCAGUGGCGAAGGCGGCUCACUGGCUCGAUACUGACGCUGAGGUGCGAAAGUGUGGGGAGCAAACAGGAUUAGAUACCCUGGUAGUCCACACCGUAAACGAUGAAUGCCAGUC
rnacentral:rRNA from 1 species